rnacentral:rRNA from 1 species
CACGGCGCACGGGUGCGUAACACGUGGGUAAUCUGCCCUCCGAUGGGGAAUAACCCCGCGAAAGCGGGGCUAAUACCGCAUAACAUUCCUUGGACUCCGGUUUGAGGACUCAAAGCCGCAAGGCGUCGAAGGUGGAGCCCGCGCACGAUUAGCUAGUUGGUAGGGUAACGGCCUACCAAGGCUAUGAUCGUUAGCUGGUCUGAGAGGAUGGCCAGCCACACUGGAACUGAGACACGAUCCAGACUCCUACGGGAGGCAGCAGUGGGGAAUCUUGCGCAAUGGGCGAAAGCCUGACGCAGCGACGCCGCGUGGGGGAUGAAGCUUCUCGGAGUGUAAACCCCUUUCGACCGGGACGAAUGCCCGCAAGGGAGUGACGGUACCGGUAUAAGAAGCCCCGGCUAACUACGUGCCAGCAGCCGCGGUAAGACGUAGGGGGCCAGCGUUGUUCGGAAUUACUGGGUGUAAAGGGUUCGUAGGCGGUGUGGCAAGUCGGGAGUGAAAUCUCUGGGCUCAACUCAGGGGCUGCUUCCGAAACUGCCGUGCUAGAGUGUGGGGGAGGCGCGUGGAAUUGCAGGUGUAGCGGUGAAAUGCGUAGAUAUCUGCAGGAACACCCGUGGCGAAAGCGGCGCGCUGGACCACUACUGACGCUGAGGAACGAAAGCUAGGGGAGCAAACAGGAUUAGAUACCCUGGUAGUCCUAGCCCUAAACGAUCAGGACUUGGGGUGCCACCCGUUCGGGUGUCGUCCCGGAGCUAACGCGUUAAGUCCUGCACCUGGGGAGUACGGUCGCAAGACUGAAACUCAAAGGAAUUGACGGGGGCCCGCACAAGCGGUGGAACAUGUGGUUCAAUUCGA